GAAUAUUGGACAAUGGGCGCAAGCCUGAUCCAGCCAUGCCGCGUGUGUGAAGAAGGCCUUAUGGUUGUAAAGCACUUUAAGCGAGGAGGAGGCUACUGAAGUUAAUACCUUCAGAUAGUGGACGUUACUCGCAGAAUAAGCACCGGCUAACUCUGUGCCAGCAGCCGCGGUAAUACAGAGGGUGCAAGCGUUAAUCGGAUUUACUGGGCGUAAAGCGCGCGUAGGCGGCUAAUUAAGUCAAAUGUGAAAUCCCCGAGCUUAACUUGGGAAUUGCAUUCGAUACUGGUUAGCUAGAGUGUGGGAGAGGAUGGUAGAAUUCCAGGUGUAGCGGUGAAAUGCGUAGAGAUCUGGAGGAAUACCGAUGGCGAAGGCAGCCAUCUGGCCUAACACUGACGCUGAGGUGCGAAAGCAUGGGGAGCAAACAGGAUUAGAUACCCUGGUAGUCCAUGCCGUAAACGAUGUCUACUAGCCGUUGGGGCCUUUGAGGCUUUAGUGGCGCA
rnacentral:rRNA from 1 species